rnacentral:rRNA from 1 species
AAUGCACGAAAGUAUGACACAGAGAGGACACAUUUAAUUGAGCCCGUCAAAUUAAGUGCCAGCCGACGCGGUUAGACUUAAGGGCUGGUCUUUAUAAGUAAAAAGGCGUAAAGGAUGUGUAGGCCAAGAAAUUAUCCAAGAAGGUAAAUGGAAUUUUUCUGGAGCGGUAGAAUGUGAAGAUAGAAAAUAGAACUCCUAAGGUUAAAACUAUUUACCACAAGAUAGGCUGAAACAUGAAAGUGUGGGGAGCAAACAGGAUUAGAGACCCUGGUAGUCCACUCUGUGAACUUUGAAGAUGAUGCUUAGCAGACCCGAAAGGUAAAAUCUUCCGCCUGAGUAGUACGAUCGCAAGAUUAAAAUUCAAAAACUUUGGCUGUUCACUAUUUCGAUUAGAGGAGCGUGUAGUUUAAUUCGAUGGUCCGCGUGUCACCUUACCCCAGCUUGAAUCUGUGACCGGUAUUGCAUGGCCGUCGUAAGUCCGUGUGUUAAGCUAGAAGGGACCCAAUCCGGGCGUUUGCCCGGAGAAAGUCAGGUCUUAUGAUCCGAAUGUUGGGGGAUUUUAUGCGCUACAUUUUCUUAUAUAAUGAGAGACUUGAAAGGUAAGCCUCUAAAGUAAGAGUUCGGAAGGUCGCUGUAAAACGACUGGAAGUUGGAUUUAAUAGUAAUCGGAAAGUAGGGCGUUCCGGUGAAUUGGUACAAGUGUUAGCACAAAUUGCCCGUCACCUUUACUUAGAAUGGUUAUUCGGA